rnacentral:misc_RNA from 1 species
ACAAAUUGACCAACCCAGCUGUUUGUUUUCUUUUCCUGAAAAUUUUUUUGUAACCAACUAAAAUCCUUGAGAAAAGAAAAUUAUUUAAUGAAAAUUUACAAAUAAAUGCAUAAAAACCGAGUAAAUUUAUUGAUUUUCGAUAAUAAGUGCCGUUAAAGUUGUGAAUAAAGUGAAAACAUGUUAAAAAUCAAGUGAAAUGUAAGCAAAAGAAAAAAACGUGAAAUCACAGACAAAACGAAACUCUCUAUUGGAAGAAGAAAAACAAGCACACACGUUGCCACAGUGGCAGUAAUAAUAACGAAAACAAGACAUACAGCCAGUCAGUCAGUUGAAAAGUGAAAAGGGUUUUUCUUGAUUCGAACCGUCCAAUUAGGACCGUAUUGCGUUAAUUUGUACCAGACUCGAAUACAAGAGGGAGCGACGAAUCGCAAAUUACCUCAUGCAAGAUGCAUCUCAAUCAUGCUACAGCUGUAAGUGCGGCCGCCAUGGUCAACUAUCAACACUAUGCACCGGCACAAAUUACCACUUCGCACGGCGUGACCACAUCCUCUGGUCAACAGCAAACAACAAUAUCUGCAGCUGGCCUGCAGCAAGCACCCUUUACGCUGCAUCAAUUAACAGCGGUACAAGCCAUACAACAUCCCACACAUCAAGCCAUGCUACAUCCUCAACACCCAUUGGUUCAUUUACUGGACAUUUCAACAACGGCGGCAGCUUCCUCAUCGCUUAACAAUAAUCCUGCACCCAUCACUCCGAUGCCAGUGACAAAAAUCGAAAUGCCCGAAGAGAUUGUUGAACCGAUAAUCGACGAUCCACGCAAAAAGAAACAGUGCCACAUUUGUAAAAACAAAUUUCGCCAGUUGACCACACUGCGAAAUCACAUGAAGAUACACACCGACGAAAGGCCCUACAAGUGUAAACAUUGCGACAAAGCCUUUCGUCAGAUAUCAACUCUUACUAAUCAUGUCAAGAUUCACACUGGCGAGAAACCAUUUAAAUGCAAUAUAUGUUCAAAGGACUUUCGACAACAAUCGACAUUAAUAAAUCACAUUAAAACGCAUAAGGUUUUUGCUUCACUUGCUGAAUCGAAUCAAACACCUGCAGCGAUACUAAACUAUCAGACGCAACAAACGCAGGGUACUUCACGCAAGGGUCAUUCAAAAACGAUUGUACAUUCAGCAGCAGCUGCUGCUGCUCAAGCUCAACUAAUACAUCAACAACAAAUGCAACAGCAGCAGCAGCAACAACAGCAACAAGGACAGGGUACAAUUGUAACGUAUACGCCACAGCAAAGGCAAAACAUAACGAAGAGCCUAUAUACGGGCAGUUACAAUUCCCCGCAGGCCGAUGAGCUGGUCAAGCCGUAUCAGUGUAAGAUCUGUCAGAAACGUUUUCCACAAUUAAGUACCCUGCAUAAUCACGAACGUACGCAUAUUGAUCCAAAACCUUAUAAAUGCGACACAUGCGAAAAGUCAUUUAGUCAAUUGGCAACAUUGGCAAAUCAUAAGAAGAUACAUUCGGGUGAUAAGCCCUAUGCUUGUGCUUAUUGUUGCAUGACGUUCCGGCAACAGAGCACCCUAAACAAUCACAUGAAGACACAUGCCAAUCAAGUGGCCACCAUAACAACUAAUUCUACAACAGCAGGCACAGGAGGGGGAGGAUCAGUUGUACAAGUAGGUAACCACCAUCAUCCCCACCACCAUCAGGCGGGCGGUAAUAACAUCCCUUUAGCUGCAGCUACCAUAAUGGUGACACCGACCGCAUCAGGACACCUACAAAUACAGCCACAAGUUGAACAUCAUCCCUUGUUACACUUUCUAGACAGCAAUACUACCGUCAGCACUCUGAGCACGAAGGAGCAGUUUGCAACGGUAAACAACAACAAUACUAAUAAUAACCACAACAACAACAACACCACAAGUACUGGAGUUGUGCCCCACUGUUUGCGCAACAGUUGUCCAGAUCGUCCAUUUAUGUGCAGUGUCUGCCGUAGGACAUUCUCGCAACAGAGCACACUUACAAAUCACUUGAAGACCCAUACCGGUGAAAAGCCCUAUAAAUGUAAAAUAUGCGAGAGUCACUUCAGACAAUUGUCCACAUUAAAUAAUCAUAUGAAAAUACAUACGGGCGAGAAGCCCUAUGCUUGUUCCUAUUGUCCUAAACAAUUUAGACAAAAAAGUACACUAACAAAUCAUAAACACAAUAACAUCUCAUUCAAUCACACUCUCAUCUAACUCCACGCAUACGCAUUACAUACAUAUGCAUAUGUAGUAGUACUACUAUACAUACAAAUAUAGUGUACAAUUUGCGCUAAGGAGGAGGCAGGCGCGGGGGAUGGUUAUAAAAAAUACAUGUUGCAGCAGUUGGAAAUCAUUUAAUUUUGUAAAUA